ACCGGCAGCUCAAGUGGUGGCCAUUAUUAUUGGGCCUAAAGCGUUCGUAGCCGGUUCCCCCCGCCCCUGGUGAAAUCCCGCAGCUUAACUGUGGGACUUGCUGGAGAUACUAUCAGACUUGAGGUCGGGAGAGGUUAGGGGUACUCCCAGGGUAGGGGUGAAAUCCUAUAAUCCUGGGAGGAGGACCUGUGGCGAAGGCGCCUAACUGGAACGAACCUGACGGUGAGUAACGGAAGCCAGGGGCGCGAACCG
rnacentral:rRNA from 1 species